GAACUGGAGUCAGUUGGCUGCUGUGAGAACAAGGAAGAGUCAGUGCCUAGAGGAGCUGCCUACUAGAAACAUCAAGGAGCCCCUGGGAUAAUGCACUCAGCUGGAGGAAGGAGGGACCCUGCAUUCACUAAUGCUUGUGUCCAUGUGACCUGUCAUCUACACAAACUCCAUCAGAAGUCCCUGAAGCCGAGGCCAGAGUUCAGAAUCUCUCCUUCCAGGAUACUGACAGAAACAAUAGGCCCUGCAAGUCACCUCAGGUUUGCCAACACAUCAGACUGAACUUCUGAAAAUAUUCAGUGGCUCUUUGUUUCUGUGAUGUGGAAUAAAACCCAAUUCACAGCCUGAGAAGUGCCUGGGAUGGAAAAGAGUAUGGUGUGAUUUUCUGUUUCCAGGAGUGUCGCUGGAGGAUCAGGGAGUGUCAUUAAAGCACAAGACAGAACUUUCCCUGGACAUAUGCUGUAUAAUGUAAAACACUCAAAGGAUUAACAGCAAUCAGGGAUCUAUCUCUGGCUGUGUGCACAUACCAAAUCUACAAACAAGGGAUUACAGAUACAGCAUAUGAACCUGCAAGGAAAAAAUGCAGUGGGGCCAGAAAUGGGAUCAUAAGAGAAAGGUUAUUCCUGCAUUUGUAAAAUUUUAUACAGAUCCUUGUAUUCCAUGAGGGCUUAUUUGUAUUGCAGGAAUAGGUAGAAAAAGAGAUCAGUCACAGGCUGCUGGGGUUUGCAUACACUGCUCCCAAAGGAGAGUCUGCCCUGGAGCUUGCAGGCCAGGAGCUCUUCCUUGCAAGUGCAUCCACAUGGUUGGACUCUCAGCAUGUGGAAAGCCAGUCCCAGGCAUUAGCCCAAAAGAGUUAUUUAAACAAGAAACAUCUUUAUUCUUUCAGUGCUCAUUAUUAAAAUAAAACACCCUUCUGAAUUUUAACAAGACCCAUGCACUCCCUGCUUGAUUUUACAGCAUCACCCUCUUAUCUAGAUAGUUUUUCCUCAUGUCAAACCUAAAUUUUAUUAUCUGCAAAUAAAGCUGGUUCCUUCUUUCCCUAUCCCCCAGCAAGCAUGGGGAAAGAUUUAUCACCAUUCUCCUUACAAUAAACUUUAAAAUAUUGCAAGA